UGCGUGAUGCUGUAGCACCUCGGAAUGUGCUCGCUUCAUUGGCCAUCUUAGUUUGAAUCGCAGUCAUCGUUGCAGCAAAAAUUUCAUCAGCUCCCGAAAAAUGCGGACGUUUGAACCACAUUCUAAAACAGCCAGCGUUCUAAAUUAUUUUGGCUGCUUUCCACGCCUUUCUGGAUUCAGCCAUUUUCCUGCUUUCUGUGGGUCUUAAUUUAUCGUGCUUGGCCGCCACAAGAGUGGCUUCGAACAUUGCUCUCGAGAUGCAACAACACCUUCAGCAACAGCAACAACAACCACAGGGCUGCUAAUCUGGCGCGAGUGGUCAAGUGUGCCGCCCAACAUUCCCUGUACUACCCUAUUUGAUCGGCUGUUCAUUUGUGACCUUUUGGAUUGUGCGGUUACUUUCUAUUUUUCGGUGGCUCACAAGUAUGUGGUAAUGUUCGCCGAUCUGCGGGAUAGCUAUUUGUUGGAUAUUUUGCUAGGACGAAGACAAACUAUGACGACGUGGUGCAUAAUCUGAAGGAAACAAGCUGCUAGUCAAGGUGGUAAUACCGGCACUGGAUA